AGCGAACGUUUGCGGCGGGCCUAACACAUGCAAGUCGAACGCACUAGCAAUAGUGAGUGGCGCACGGGUGCGUAACACGUGGGUAAUCAACCCUUCAGCUUGGGAUAACGACUUGAAAGGGUCGCUAAUACCGGAUACGGCGAGAGAGGCUUCGGCAUUUCUCGAGAAAGCCUCGCAAGGGGCACUGAAGGACGAGCCUGCGGCCCAUCAGCUAGUUGGUGAGGUAAGAGCUCACCAAGGCGAAGACGGGUAGCUGGUCUGAGAGGAUGAUCAGCCACACUGGAACUGAGACACGGUCCAGACUCCUACGGGAGGCAGCAGUGGGGAAUAUUGCGCAAUGGGCAAAAGCCUGAUGCAGCAACGCCGCGUGAGCGAUGAAGGCCUUCGGGUCGUAAAGCUCUGUCCUCAAGGAAGAUAAUGACGGUACUUGAGGAGGAAGCCCGGCUAACUACGUGCCAGCAG
rnacentral:rRNA from 1 species